GACCAGACUCCUACGGGAGGCAGCAGUGAGGGAUAUUGGUCAAUGGGGGAAACCCUGAACCAGCAACGCCGCGUGAGGGAAGACGGUUUUCGGAUUGUAAACCUCUGUCCUCUGUGAAGAUAAUGACGGUAGCUAAGGAGCAAGCCACGGCUAACUACGUGCCAGCAGCCGCGGUAAUACGUAGGUGGCAAGCGUUGUCCGGAAUUACUGGGUGUAAAGGGAGCGCAGGCGGGAAGCCAAGUCAGCUGUGAAAACUACGGGCUUAACUUGUAGACUGCAGUUGAAACUGGUUUUCUUGAGUGAAGUAGAGGUUGGCGGAAUUCCGAGUGUAGCGGUGAAAUGCGUAGAUAUUCGGAGGAACACCGGUGGCGAAGGCGGCCAACUGGGCUUUAACUGACGCUGAGGCUCGAAAGUGUGGGGAGCAAACAGGAUUAGAUACCCUCGUAUU
rnacentral:rRNA from 1 species